UACGUAGGGGGCGAGCGUUGUCCGGAUUUAUUGGGCGUAAAGAGCUCGUAGGCGGUUUGGUAAGUCGGGUGUGAAAUCUCCACGCUCAACGUGGAGGGGCCACUCGAUACUGCCAUGACUCGAGUCCGGUAGAGGAGUGUGGAAUUCCCGGUGUAGCGGUGAAAUGCGCAGAUAUCAGGAGGAACACCGGUGGCGAAGGCGGGUCUCUGGGCAAUAACUGACGCUGAGGAGCGAAAGCGUGGGGAGCGAACAGG
rnacentral:rRNA from 1 species